GUUGUAGUCUGGAGAAGUGCUUUCCGCGCCGGACCGUGUACAAGUCUCUUGGAAUAGAGCGUCAUAGAGGGUGAGAAUCCCGUCUUUGACACGGACUACCGGUGCUUUGUGAUGCGCUCUCAAAGAGUCGAGUUGUUUGGGAAUGCAGCUCAAAAUGGGUGGUAAAUUCCAUCUAAAGCUAAAUAUUGGCGAGAGACCGAUAGCGAACAAGUACCGUGAGGGAAAGAUGAAAAGCACUUUGGAAAGAGAGUUAAACAGUACGUGAAAUUGCUGAAAGGGAAACGCUUGAAGUCAGUCGCGUCGUGCAGAACUCAACCUUGCUYUCGCUUGGUGCACUUUCUGUACGACGGGCCAGCAUCAAUUUUGACCGUCGGAUAAAGGCCGAAGGAAUGUGGCACCCGUUUGGGUGUGUUAUAGCCUUCGGUCGCAUACGGCGGUUGGGAUUGAGGAACGCAGCGCGCCGCAAGGUGGGGCUUCGGCCUACUUUCGCGCUUAGGAUGCUGGCAUAAUGGCUUUAAACGACCCGUCUUGAAACACGGACCAAGGAGUCUAACAUGCCUGCGAGUGUUUGGGUGGAAAACCCGAGCGCGUAAUGAAAGUGAAAGUUGAGACCUCUGUCGUGGAGGGCAUCGACGCCCGGACCAGACGUUUACUGACGGAUCCGCGGUAGAGCAUGUAUGUUGGGACCCGAAAGAUGGUGAACUAUGCCUGAAUAGGGUGAAGCCAGAGGAAACUCUGGUG
rnacentral:rRNA from 1 species